rnacentral:rRNA from 1 species
GAUUAACGCGAAGAACCUUACCUACCCUUGACAUGUCCGGAAGGCUGCUGAAAGGCGGCUGUGCCCGAAAGGGAACUGGAACACAGGUGCUGCAUGGCUGUCGUCAGCUCGUGUCGUGAAAUGUUGGGUUAAGUCCCGCAACGAGCGCAACCCUUGUCAUUAGUUGCUACAUUCAGUUGGGCACUCUAAUGAGACUGCCGGUGACAAACCGGAGGAAGGUGGGGAUGACGUCAAGUCCUCAUGGCCCUUAUGGGUAGGGCUUCACACGUAAUACAAUGGCGCGUACAGAGGGCCUGCUAAGCCGCGAGGUAGAGCCAAUCCCUUAAAGCGCGUCGUAGUCCGGAUUGCAGUCUGCAACUCGACUGCAUGAAGUCGGAAUCGCUAGUAAUCGCGGAUCAGCAUGUCGCGGUGAAUACGUUCCCGGGCCUUGUACACACCGAAUCACUAGU